rnacentral:rRNA from 1 species
UGGGGAAUUUUGGACAAUGGGGGAAACCCUGAUCCAGCCAUCCCGCGUGUGCGAUGAAGGCCUUCGGGUUGUAAAGUACUUUUGGCAGGAAAGAAACGUCAUGGGUUAAUACCCCGUGAAACUGACGGUACCUGCAGAAUAAGCACCGGCUAACUACGUGCCAGCAGCCGCGGUAAUACGUAGGGUGCAAGCGUUAAUCGGAAUUACUGGGCGUAAAGCGUGCGCAGGCGGUUCGGAAAGAAAGAUGUGAAAUCCCAGAGCUCAACUUUGGAACUGCAUUUUUAACUACCGGGCUAGAGUGUGUCAGAGGGAGGUGGAAUUCCGCGUGUAGCAGUGAAAUGCGUAGAUAUGCGGAGGAACACCGAUGGCGAAGGCAGCCUCCUGGGAUAACUCUGACGCUCAUGCACGAAAGCGUGGGGAGCAAACAGG